UGUUGUGCUCCUGCAGCUGGUACACCGCUGCAUGCGAGGCACAAAUCUUGUCGGUUAACGGUUAAUAAUCGGUUAACGAGGGUCGGUUAUCGGUUAAGAAAGUUUUUUCAAAAUGAGCAUCCCUAAUCUUGAGGACACACUGUGUUUUGGUGAGUAGCAGUGAAUAUAAAGAGAAACUUUGUUUACAUUUCUAUUAAGUACACCGUGGUACAUUAUUUUGUGACAAUCAAAACUGCGAGUAGACUGAUAAAACACCGCGUACAGUUUCAUUGGUACUUCUCUACAACUUCUCCUCAGCAGUUAGAGAGACAAACUGCACAAUCACAAAUCUAAAAUCUUUAAUCACCAUUCCCCUUAGAAUAAUAAAGGUCCAGCGGUGGUAUGCUGAGUUUCUCUUAAUCAUCAUCAUUUUGACACAGCAGUCGGGUUUAACUGAGCACACAGCUGUGUUUUAAAACCCAUUCUAAACCACAGCUAAGCUAGUCAGAUGCUAAGAGACACAGCAGCAGCAGCAUUGGUGUAUUAACUUUGAGUUUUACUUUUGCGGUAAAACCAACAAAAUGUUUUCUGUGUAAGACAUAGUGCAACGAGAAGAGUCGACUGUUAACCUCCUGAAUCGAUAAUGUCAGGUACACAUCAGUAUUUUUCUAAACAUUAGCCACCCUAAGCUAAAAACCAUUGACUAAACAAGGUUGAGUUUAUUACUUAUGAAUUCAACUUCCUGUAAGAGAAUGAGUUGUUUUAUUCUUCACAAAGGUUACAUAGUCUGGUUUCAAGUACUGAAAUGGAAUUUGAAUUCUGUCACCGCUAUUGUUUGGUGCUUUUUUUUUUUUUUUUAUAAUAUUUGAUAUUACAGCCAUUUUCCUGACGUUCUUGUACUACUCUGCCUUAAAGCAACAUGUUCAAAUGGUCAUACGCCAUCAUUUGGUCUCAUGGAGUCAAUAACUGCUUAUUGAUUUUAACACUUCUACAAGUCAGAUUUAUGUUUUGUCAGAUUGAGUUUUAAAUAUAAAUGUUGGUAUAAUAUAAUCAUCUUAAGUGACGUAUUGUCAUUGUUUUUACCUUACAUAAUAAUAUCCAUGAGAACAUGAAAAGCAUCCUUAGGGUUUACCAACCAACUGUACAUCAUAAGUUAUAAAUCAUGAUGUAACCGAAUGAGUGACCGUCCUGAUCACUCCUCUAAUGCACUGUAUUAGCUGCCUGGCACAUUUCAUUCUGCCCUAAAGCUGGACGUACACUGUACCACUUUAGUCCGUUUCUGGCCCCAAUUUUGAGCCGCACGACUCAUUUUAGAAUCGGACCGAAUUUCAGCUUUGACGGCCGUCGUUUGCCGUGCAGUGUAAAGGAGGGACUGAUUAACUCCGUCCGCACGUUCUCGCGCAGUUAAAUCCGACAGGCCGUGUUUAUUUCUAUUUUAUGCAUACAGUGUGAUCGCUGAGGUUACAGCUGACGAUCGGACCACACAGUGUUAUUGCUCAGGUCAUGGCUGACGAUCGGACCAUACAGUGUGAGCACUAAGGUCGCGGCUGACGAUCGGACCGUACAGUGUGAGCACUAAGUUCAUGGCUGACGAUCGGACCAUGCAGUGUUAUUGCUCAGGUCGCGGCUGACGAUCGGACCGCACAAUGUGAGCACUGAAAUUGUAAGCUUUGGCCUUACGUCGCAAACGAUCUACUCGUACAGUAGGAGUAGGAAGUACACAACAACACUUUUAAUAACGUACAGUGUACCACCAGCUUUAGUGAGCUUGACAUUUAACCUUCGUAAGCUUAAACUUGAUCAAAAACCUAAAACGGUUAAUCAUUUUCAACAAUAGACUAAUAGAAUAUUGGAACCCAAACCCAGUGGAUACACUGAGGUGCUAACAGGCCUCACCAGAAAUGACAAACUGCCAUUCAUGUUGACGUCUUUCCAAGAAUCAACUCCAACAUCUAAUAUUGCUUCGUGUAAGUCGGACUGUUGACAGUUACAGUGAAUGACUAUGAUGUGUUCAUAGAGAAUCUUAAACAUAUUCCAUGUAUGAAUAUAUGUUGUCAAAAUGGAAUCUUCAGUCCUUUGGCGUCGUCCGAAAUCUCAUACUAUGCACUACAUACCCAAUAUGUGUACUAUCGAUCAACAUGCUUAGUUUGUAUCUUUUCGGAGCAGUAGUUUACGUCGUCACUUCCCGAGAGCCUCCUUGCCGGUUGGAGACGUGUAACCAUGGUAACCCGUGCCAACCUCAUGUGAUCAAAACAACCGUUUAUGAGAAUCAAAUUCUGAAUUAAUUUAAAAUAUAUAUUACGCCUAACAAAGUGAAAUGUUAUACUGUACUUACAGUUAAAUUGAAGCGUUAUUGAUGUUACAGAGCUGUCCGUCAACGUCUGCUAUGAACGUUGUCGUCACUGUUGUUCAUGCCGCCGUAGUGUCCAGUGUUGCAUACUGUAAUAUUUUCACCGGAAAUAGCAUGUAAUUGGCAUACUAUUGGUUUCAUACUAAGGUUUUGGACAUACUGAAAUAUCUCACAUACUGUUUAGCGUACUAAAUAGCAUGUUAGUGUGGAAUUCGAACGCAACCAAUGUGUACUUAACUUUAGGUUAUCUGUCAGUGGAUUUCUUUGGGAGAAUGCUCAGACCUCAUACUUUAUAAUACUUCUUUCAGACAGAAGUGUUUGUUGAGUGUGUGUUGAGUUGUGUUCGAUCAUUGCCUGAAUCCUGCUCUGCAUAUAAAGCUUUUUCUAUAGAUCUCAGUAAUGAUCUUCAGUAAAUGUUUCUUCUCUGUGGAGCCUUUGUGUGGAGAGACGAGGGCUCUGUAGAUCUGUCUGUGCCUUGUGGAUUAUUAAGGGACAUUUUAAAGCCAUUGCCAUUAACGCUGCACUAUUACCAGCCUCAACCAAGGAAUGUCUAAUUCCUUUUUUUAGAAAACACAACUCACCCCAGAAUGAAAGUUAACGCAGUAAACCUCAAGAAAACUCACUGUGAAAAUAAAUGUAGACGAGUCAAAACCAAAUAAUACCCGACAACUCGAGUGGAGGCGGGAUACCUUUCUUAACUCUCAUGCUGCUUUUGCCUCUUAGAUUGUUAAAUAAAAGCUGAAACUUUGAUAGUGUACUAACUCAGCAAACGCGAACAAGCACUUUGAUGCUCACACCAGCAGUUUUUUUGGAUGUUUACGCUAAUGCAGUACUCCUCCUCGUCUUUGAAUCAACUUAAUGUACGUUUGUCUUCGGUGUAAUUCACUUCUCUAGCUCACUGCCGCCGCGUGUUUGCUGGCUUCUGUGCAGCCUGUGGCCGCUUUGGGAACUUUGUAUUUACUUCCACGUUGUGCCACAUUUUGAUGGAAGUUUUAUGUUGGGAUUGGGGACUUGGAAAUAAAAGUUUUUGUAAUGAA